GAUGAACGCUGGCGGCGUGCCUAAUACAUGCAAGUCGAGCGAACGGACGAAAAGCUUGCUUCUCUGAUGUUAGCGGCGGACGGGUGAGUAACACGUGGAUAACCUACCUAUAAGACUGGGAUAACUUCGGGAAACCGGAGCUAAUACCGGAUAAUAUUUUGAACCGCAUGGUUCAAAAGUGAAAGACGGUCUUGCUGUCACUUAUAGAUGGAUCCGCGCUGCAUUAGCUAGUUGGUAAGGUAGCGGCUUACCAAGGCAACGAUGCAUAGCCGACCUGAGAGGGUGAUCGGCCACACUGGAACUGAGACACGGUCCAGACUCCUACGGGAGGCAGCAGUAGGGAAUCUUCCGCAAAGGGCGAAAGCCUGACGGAGCAACGCCGCGUGAGUGAUGAAGGUCUUCGGAUCGUAAAACUCUGUUAUUAGGGAAGAACAUAUGUGUAAGUAACUGUGCACAUCUUGACGGUACCUAAUCAGAAAGCCACGGCUAACUACGUG
rnacentral:rRNA from 1 species